CUUCUACUUGUCCACAAUUUGCCCCAGAAUCUUACUGGCUACAUCUGGUACAAACGAAAAAUGACGGACCUCUACCAUUACAUUACAUCAUAUGUAGUAGAUGGUCAAAUAAUUAUAUAUGGGCCUGCACACAGUGGACGAGAAACAGUAUAUUCCAAUGCAUCCCUGCUGAUCCAGAAUGUCACCCGGGAGGACGCAGGAUCCUACACCUUACACAUCAUAAAGGGAGGUGAUGGGACUAGAGGAGUAACUGGAAAUUUCACCUUCACCUUAUACCUGGAGACUCCCAAGCCCUCCAUCUCCAGCAGCAACUUAAACCCCAGGGAGGCCAUGGAGGCUGUGAGCUUAACCUGUGAUCCUGAGACUCCGGAUGCAAGCUACUGGUGGUGGAUGAAUGGUCAGAGCCUCCCUAUGACUCACAGGUUGCAGCUGUCCGAAACCAACAGGACCCUCUUUCUAUUGGGUGUCACAAAGCAUACUGCAGGACCCUAUGAAUGUGAAAUACGGAACCCAGUGAGUGCCAGCCGCAGUGACCCAGUCACCCUGAAUCUCCUCC
rnacentral:sRNA from 1 species